rnacentral:lncRNA from 1 species
UUCCAAUAUAUGAAAAUUUGAAACAAAGAUGCGAAUACGGAAAUUUCAAUUAUAAAACAGCACACCAAUCGUUAGUUGGUCUAGUGGUUAUUGGUGUUGCACUUAGUAGGAAUGACCACGAUUCGAUCCUCCGCAACUGCGAUCGGGAGAGGGACUAAAAACAAAAAAAAAUUAUAACUGCUCUAUCACUUGUCUUAAUAUAUAGAUUGCUUCCAUGAUCUACCUCCCAAACAU